rnacentral:misc_RNA from 1 species
AAGUCGUAACAAGGUUUCCGUAGGUGAACCUGCGGAAGGAUCAUUAAAAACAUAGCAAACCGAGCGUUAGCGAGGUUCUGCGAUCAAAAUUGUAUUUAAAACCCAACUCUUUGAAUCAAUAUUUUUAUGUAUCUUAAAUAAUAAAAGAUCACUUUCAACAACGGAUCUCUUGGCUCUC